UGAGGAAUAUUGGACAAUGGGUGAGAGCCUGAUCCAGCCAUCCCGCGUGCAGGAAGACGGCCCUAUGGGUUGUAAACUGCUUUUAUACAGGAAUAAACCACCUUUCGUGAAGGGUGUUGAAGGUACUGUAUGAAUAAGCACCGGCUAACUCCGUGCCAGCAGCCGCGGUAAUACGGAGGGUGCAAGCGUCAUCCGGAUUUAUUGGGUUUAAAGGGUCCGCAGGCGGACUAGUAAGUCAGAGGUGAAAGCCGGCAGCUUAACUGUCGAACUGCCUUUGAAACUGCAAAUCUUGAGUGAAAUUGAAGUAGCUGGAAAUGAGUAGUGUAGCGGUGAAAUGCAUAGAUAUUACUCAGAACACCAAUAGCGAAGGCAGGUUACUAAAAUUUUUAACUGACGCUGAGGGGACGAAAAGCGUGGGGGAGCGAACAGGAUUAGAUACCCUGGUAGUCCACGCCGUAAAACGAUGG
rnacentral:rRNA from 1 species